rnacentral:rRNA from 1 species
UAGCUAAUACCGGAUAACAACAGAUGAUGCCUAUCAACUGUUUAAAAGAUGGUUCUGCUAUCACUCUUGGAUGGACCUGCGGUGCAUUAGCUAGUUGGUAGGGUAACGGCCUACCAAGGCGAUGAUGCAUAGCCGAGUUGAGAGACUGAUCGGCCACAUUGGGACUGAGACACGGCCCAAACUCCUACGGGAGGCAGCAGGU